CCCUUAGAUGUUCUGGGCCGCACGCGCGCUACACUGAACAGAUCAGCGUGUAUUCCCUUCCUGAGAAGGACGGGUAAACCGCUGAGCCCUGUUCAUGGUAGGGAUCGGGGCUUGCAAUUAUUCCCCGUGAACCAGGAAUUCCCAGUAGGCGCAAGUCAUAAGCUUGCGUCGAUUACGUCCCUGCCCUUUGUACACACCGCCCGUCGCUACUACCGAUUGAACGUUUUAGUGAGGUCCUCGGACUGUUUGCCUGGCGGUUUACCCUGCUUGGCUGGCGGGAAGACGACCAAACUUGAGCGUUUAGAGGAAGUAAAAGUCGUAACA
rnacentral:rRNA from 1 species